UUGGCCUUAUUUAUUUCUUCUUCAACCAAUUUAUAGUUAUCCCAAAACAAAGAUUCCAACCAAUAUUUCUUACUUAACUGCUUUUCUUGACUCAAUCAUCCAUCCUACCUCUUGAAUUGACUAUCUUAUGGAUGAUUAAAUAAUUUUACCAAUAUCUAACUAAUAUUCUACAAAAACGAAUUUCUAUCCAUUCUACAUAGUCCCACUUUUAACUCUGUAGCAUCCUUGCAAACACGAAAUUGGUAAAAAA
rnacentral:lncRNA from 1 species